UAAUCAGGUCCUUAUUUGUAGAACAAUUUGUAGUGGAUAAAGGGGUUGGCAACUUUAAUCUUGGCUGUGCUUUAAAGUUCAACUGCUUUGUUUCCCUCUGAAAUGGAUUAGAGGUGCUCAUACGGGCAGCUACCAUGCCAGAACCAGGAGACUAGCUUUGUGGCUUUAACUGCUCCAGCUUUUUUUGUAAGCACAUCUGACUGUAUGAAGAUGCAAAAGACAUAAAUAAGAAUCCACUACAAUUGGCAAGAAAACAAGCAGAAUGUACUGAAAGUACCAUACCUGUACAAGGAGAGAGUUUGUCUGAGUUUAAAAGAAAGAAAGAAAGAAAACAGAACUGGAAGGGGAUCGAUGCCAUUUCACAAGAUAGGAUCAAACUAUUGCUGCAGAAAGCUGGAAGAAGCUUGCAGAUCGGCUGAAUCUUGAGUAAGUUGGAAUGCAUAGAUAAAAAGUAGUGUUGCCCAUGGUCUUAGAAGUUAGUGAGGCUGCAGUUCUCUUGAGUUCUCAGCUUGAAGCCUUUCACUAAAACAUUUAGAAAGCAACAUAAAACAAGUAAACAAAAGAAAUUGAUUUUUUUUUCUGCACACAAAUGCUGGGUUUAAAGUAAGUCUAACUAUAACUUCUGAGUAUAUUGCCUAUAAUUUAGCCCACCAUCUUGAUCUUUUGUCUUCGUCUAUGAUGUACAUCAUGUACAGUCAUUUUCAAGAGGAUAGUUUUAUGUUUACAAUUUUUUUUUAGCUCUAACAUACAUUGCUUUUUAUCCAGCUUUAUACUUAACUCACCUAGACAUUCAUAUAGAUGUGAAAAUGCGCUAAUUUUUAAGAUACUUCAUCUAGCUUCAUGUUGUGAUAAUUCAUACUGAAAUAUCAAUGCUACUAAUAGGUAGGAGACUUCCAACUGAAUUCUUUAUGAACUUUUCCUGACCUACUAUGUAGUGUGUUAGCUUUUCACUCUGGCUGACAUUAUGCAUGGAUGGAUUAGAUAACAUCACCACACAUUGUGAUGUUAUCCUUGCUUUCUAGUAGAGUGGCAACAGAAUUGUUCAUAUUACUUUUUGACUUGCAAAUUUUGUAUGUGUGUUUUUGUGCCUCUCACAUAGAAAAGCGUUGAUUAACGCUGCAGCAUUUUGUUUCUUUCAAAAAUAUCUCGCUAGAUGAAGUAGCCAGUUCCAAGCACUGAGGAAUAAAUUAGGAAUGUCCCUCA
rnacentral:lncRNA from 1 species